GACAGAGGUGGCUAGCGUUGUUCGGUGUCACUGGGCUUAAAGAGUGUGUAGGCGGGGAAGCAAGCGUUUUGUGAAAGCCCCCGGCUUAACCGGGGAACUGCUUGACGAACUGCUUUUCUUGAGGCAGGCAGGGGUGCGCGGAACUCUUGGUGGAGCGGUGAAAUGCGUAGAUAUCAAGAGGAACGCCGGUGGAGAAAUCGGUGCACUGGGCCUGUCCCGACGCUGAGACACGAAAGCGUGGGUAGCGAACGGGAUUAGAUACCCCGGUAGUCCACGCCGUAAACGAUGUCUACUAGGUUGUGGAGGUUCUGACGCCGUCACGGCCGAAGCAAAAGUGCUAAGUAGACCGCCCGGGGAGUACGGCCGCAAGGCUAAAACUCAAAGGAAUUGACGGGGGCUCACACAAGCGGUGGAGCAUGUGGAUUAAUUCGAAGCAACGCGCAGAACCUUACCUGGGUUUGACAUGCUUGGAUGGCUUCCUGGAAACAGGUUAGUCUGCCCUUCGGGGUGAAACUUGCACAGGUGCUGCAUGGCUGUCGUCAGCUCGUGUUGUGAAAUGUCGGGUUAAGUCCCUUAACGAGCGAAACCCUUGCCGUUAGUUGCCAUCGGGUCAUGCCGGGGACCCUAACGGGACUGCCGGUGUUAAACCGGAGGAAGGUGGGGAUGACGUCAAGUCAUCAUGGCCUUUAUGCCCAGGGCCUCACACGUGCUACAAUGGCGGCCACAAAGCGACGCAAGACCGCGAGGUGGAGCAAAUCGCAAAAAGGUCGCCCCAGUUCGGAUUGUAGGCUGGCAAUUCGCCUGCAUGAAGUCGGAAUCGCUAGUAAUCGCGUAUCAGCGAUGACGCGGUGAAUGUGUUCCUGAGCCU
rnacentral:rRNA from 1 species